UACAGAGGGUGCGAGCGUUAAUCGGAAUUACUGGGCGUAAAGCGCGCGUAGGCGGCUUUGCAAGUCGGGUGCGAAAUCCCCAGGCUCAACCUGGGAACUGCAUUCGAGACUGCAUUGCUAGAGUAUGGGAGAGGGAAGUGGAAUUUCCGGUGUAGCGGUGAAAUGCGUAGAUAUCGGAAGGAACAUCAGUGGCGAAAGCGACUUCCUGGACCAAUACUGACGCUCAUGUGCGAAAGCGUGGGGAGCAAACAGG
rnacentral:rRNA from 1 species